rnacentral:rRNA from 1 species
AACGAACGCUGGCGGCAUGCCUAACACAUGCAAGUCGAACGAGACCUUCGGGUCUAUUGGCGCACGGGUGCGUAACGCGGGGUAACCUGCCCUUAGGUUCGGAAUAACUCCCCUAAAGGUAUGCUAAUACCGGAUAAUCUCUUCGGACCAAAGAUUUAUCGCCUUUGGGUGGGCCCGCGUUGGAUUAGCUGGUUGGUAGUGUAAAAGCAUACCAAGGCGUCGAUCCAUAGCUGGUCUGAGAGGAUGGUCAGCCACACUGGGACUGAGACACGGACUAGACUCGUACGGGAGGCAGGGGUGGGGAAUACUGGGGAAUGGGCGAAAGCGUGACCCAGCAAUGCGGGGUGAGUGAUGCAGGCCUUAGGGUUGUAAAGCUCUUUUAGACGGGAUGAUAAUGACAGUACCGGGAGAAUAAGCACCGGCUAACUACGUG